GAUUUUCAUGCAUGACCACCAAAGAGGUUCAUUUACAAGUUGUUCUUGCUCAAUAAAAGGUGCUAAGUUUUAAACUCCGACCCACUCCCCAUCAUAGACCCCCAUUGCGGAUGAAAUUAAUUAUGGUCAGCCAAAUGCGAUUGUACACAGCCCACCAUAUAAGUGUACGUUGGCUCCCAUAUAGAGGUGCCCAAUAUGCUAGCAUUGUGUAAUUAAAGU